AAUUCGAUUAGAGUUUGAUCCUGGCUCAGGACGAACGCUGGCGGCGUGCUUAACACAUGCAAGUCGAACGGAGAUUAUGGAUGAAGCUUGCGAUUCCAUAAUUUUAGUGGCGGACGGGUGAGUAACGCGUGGGCAACCUACCCAUAAGAGGGGGAUAACAGCUGGAAACGGCUGCUAAUACCGCAUACGCUGGUUAAGACGAUGUUUUGAUCAGGAAAGGUGGCCACUGAAAAUGCUACCGCUUAUGGAUGGACCCGCGUCUGAUUAGCUAGUUGGUAGGGUAAAAGCCUACCAAGGCGACGAUCAGUAGCCGGCCUGAGAGGGUGAACGGCCACACUGGGACUGAGACACGGCCCAGACUCCUACGGGAGGCAGCAGUGGGGAAUAUUGCGCAAUGGGGGAAACCCUGACGCAGCGACGCCGCGUGAGCGAAGAAGGCCUUAGGGUUGUAAAGCUCUGUUCUAUGGGACGAACGACUGGAGCAGUAACACGGCUUCAGAAUGACGGUACCAUAGGAGGAAGCCCCGGCUAACUACGUGCCAGCAGCCGCGGUAAGACGUAGGGGGCGAGCGUUGUCCGGAAUUACUGGGCGUAAAGAGCACGUAGGCGGGUAUUUAAGUCAGGUGUGAAAUACCGUGGCUCAACUGCGGGGCUGCACCUGAAACUGGGUAUCUUGAGGGCAGGAGAGAGCAGUAGAAUUCCUGGUGUAGCCGUCAAUUCCUUUGAGU
rnacentral:rRNA from 1 species